rnacentral:rRNA from 1 species
CAGUCGCCGCGGUAAUACGAAGGGGGCUAGCGUUGCUCGGAAUUACUGGGCGUAAAGGGAGCGUAGGCGGAUCGUUUAGUCAGGGGUGAAAUCCCGGGGCUCAACCUCGGAACUGCCUUUGAUACUGGCGAUCUUGAGUAUGGGAGAGGUGUGUGGAACUCCGAGUGUAGAGGUGAAAUUCGUAGAUAUUCGGAAGAACACCAGUGGCGAAGGCGACACACUGGCCCAUUACUGACGCUGAGGCUCGAAAGCGUGGGGAGCAAACAGGAUUAGAUACCCGGGUAGUCCCUGUCUCUUAUAC